CACACGCCGUGCCCGAGCCCGGCCCGAGCCCGUGAAAAAACUGCUCUACCCGGCCCGGCCCGGCCCACGGGCCGGGCCGUGCCCGGGCUUUCGGGUAAGCCCGAGCCCGUGCAGUGCUCUAGCACACACAGCUGCAAGAUCAUGCUGAGAAAGAACAGUGACACCUGCAGUACCGCCGCAACCUCAUCCAACAGCUGGUGGGUGACGUGAGGGCUAGAGCCAAAAAGCGGGGCCCGUCUGCGUGGAAGGAGUGCGAGGAAAGGCUAGAUGGGAGGAGCCAUUUCAGCUACAAGAUCCCAGGCCGAAAUACCAAAGACUGUGCUGUUUGUAGCAAUCGAAAAACAAACGGAGGCAGGAGGGAAACUGUGUUUUUCUUCAAAACCUGCAGUAACAACCCUGGCCUGCACCCAGAAAAAUGCUUCGAGUGGUAUCACACGCUGCUCAAAUAUCGGUACAGGAGUUGCCUACAGAAGGCAAGAGAAAAAAUAAAUAUCCUGUUAGUUUUUAUUCCACAGUUUGUGUUUUUCUUCGUGGCGCCACAAACUGGCAAAAUAGUUUUGGACUAGGACAGCCGGAAAGCAAGUAAAAGUUUCGGACCGCAAAGGGUUAAAAUAAUUCAGGUGUCCGCCUCGAGCAAGACAGUUACGGUGUCCACGGCAAGGAUUGUGAAAAUAAACAAGAAACAUUGCGCUUUGGAGGUGACAAGGAGCUUCCUUUUUGUCGGUAGUUUUCUCGGCGUCAGCGUCUGUUUUGAGCAUGUCACUCUUAUUACACGGUGCUUUGGCGGUGUGUGGUGCCGGAAUCUAUGGCAAAUUAUUAUUAUAAAUAGCAGCAACGCGGGCCGAGAGCCAACAGUGACGUCUUCGUAGAUAGCUCAUAUGGUAACAACUUGUGAACUGAUAAAUUAAUGGGCGGAAUGUUAAAUUUGGGACUUUCACUAUUACGACUUUUCAGAAUAACAAACCAUUUACUGCGGUCCCCUGAAGUUCGUUAUAUCGAGAUUUUACUAUUUAGAGCUGUGGUAUGAGCUAUAGCUCAAUUUUGCAGCUGAAUGUUUAAGCUCUUGAAUAAUUGAUAGAGGAUUUAAUUACAUUUAAUUUAUAUCUGCUAAAAGAGAUCUCCAACAUUUUCCUGGCUGGAAACUGAACUUGAUUUGAAUGAAAUGCAAGUCUUAUUCAGAGUGCAGUGGCCUUUGCCUGACCCGUGUGAAGACACCAACUCCUGAUGUUGUGCAGCUUAAUGUUGGUGAAAUGUAGAAACAGUGCUCAGUGCAGAAUUUCUGGUAUCGUAUUUUUACGCCUUGUUUUAUUGUGAUAGCAAUUAUAUGGACACUCCAGGUGCAUUUCUGCCAUCGCCGUGAUGUUCCGUGUAAAGUCCAAGAGUGAUAACAUCGUCGCCGCAUGCUUUAUGCUGUAUAUGUGAGUGAAAGGGUAUGAGGGUGAGCCGACAAUGGCGGCUCAAUCUCGUGCGCACAAGGGAAGUAAGCGGGGAGUAAGCGCGCUGUCUACUGUAGUGCGCAAGGCACCGGGCGGAGGGGUGUUUUAUGCCGGCGGCUGCUGUGUAUGCCGCGGCCGCGCGUGCCCUAUCUUGAAAGCGAUCUGCGAUGGAGACAGAGUGCGCCGAGUGCCGAUAGCUUCGUGUGCGCUGUGUUUUCGACGCUUAGUUUGCGUUGAAGCGAGAGGCAGCACGAAGGUCAAUUCGCUCGCUGCUGCUGCCGCACUUCCUCACUCCAGCAUUUUGACAGCGAGCUUCCGUGGUCAUCGAGCGAGAUGUGUUCAUGUUUGCUUGUGCGCGCGUGACACCAUGCUUGUUAAUUUAGUUAGUAAGUGAAUGUUUGCAUGUUCGUCUCUUUCCCUACCAUGGGGAAAAUAGGCGAUUUUUGUAUGGUGCGGCAGUUUUUUUCUUAAGGAACUAUUGCACUCUCUAUUUAAUGCAGUACAUAAACAGAAGCAAAAUGGAUGCACUUUUCACACAUAAAAGUUUUAUUAACGAGAUGUAUGUCAUAAAAAAGAUAUAACUUGUUAAAAUUAAGAUUGUGCAAUAAAAUUGAACAAAGUUUGUAAAGACCCGCUUGUAUCUACUAAGAACAAAAUGUUACAAAAAUUAUGAGAUAUACAAAAUGUAUAGCCAUCUAUUAGGCACUAUCUUCAAAAAAAAUCUAAAUUUUAAUUGAACAGGUAUUCCGCUACAAAAAUGUAACUGCAAGCACUGCAGUUGGGCGUGCCGGGCUGCGGCCGCCGAUGUUCCAGGCUGGUUUGCGUCGUCGUCGCUUUCAAACGCAAAGUCCGAUGAAAAGCCAGCGUCCUCUGGCUCGCUGCUGUUCGAUGUAUCGAUAUGAUCAGCCGCAGAGGCAGCGGAAUCGUGAUAUCUGCGAUCUCCUGAAGCACGCGCGCCGUUUCCGGAGCUGGACAUUAUUGCAUUCUGCUUUGACGAUCGUGAAACUUCGGAGCGAAUUUAAAAAUCACCGCCUGGCAGGCAAAAAGUGAACUGCUUAGAAAACAAAAAUAUAGUUUCUUCUCUUUCACGUCCAAUGCGCAGUGUGUCUCUGAGCGGCGCGGAAGGUCUCAAAAGUGGCGUUUCAAACCAUUGAUAGCGGGCGGCCAUUUUUUCGUUCUUCUUUGACGAUCACGAAACUUCGGAGUGCAUUUAAAAAUCACUGCCAUGCGGGAAAAAAACAAACUGUUUAGAAAACUAAAAUAUAGCUCUCCUCCUUCACGCCCCAUUGCGCAGUAUGUCCGUGAGCGGCGCGGAAGGUCUCAAAAGGGGGGUUUCAAACCAUCGAUAGAGACCUAACGAUGCCCAAAGGGCACAGUACGGAAAGAUUUAUACGGCCGAUAAAACUACUAUCUUUGCUUAGUAUAGCUCUCUACUAAUUUGCUAUUGCAAUCGAUGCUUCACCUUUCGGGCGAAGCUGCAACGUCUGUAGCUGUAUGAACUCGCAUUCCUCGAAUGUGUACCUACCGGCCUAAAGUACCGUACUUACUCGAUACUAAUGUGCCUCUGAUUGCAACACACACUAAGUUUUUCAUGGGCGGAAAUCUAAAAUGCAGUGACCUUAAUUGUAAUGCGCAGCCUGAUUUUCAUACUUCAAAAAAAUGUAAAAUGCAAUGCACUAGGUUGUUCCCUUAUCAGAUUUUCGUGGUAAAAGAAAUAGCUAUUUGUUGUCAGAGGUGCGAUUUGGACCCCAGAUAGAGGUGGUGUCCAAUAAUGGCAAAUCUUUUGGCACUUGCACUAUGGUAAAGCAUGGCUUUCAAUGUUUUGAGGUGGGAUGUUGACACCACCUAUUAGCGAUUUUGGUUUUGUUCUCGAUUCUAACACACAUCUAGUGUUUUAAAGAAUUUUCCUGGAAAUUUUUUUUGUUAGAAUCAAGUAUAACUAUGUCACAGGAUGCACAUUGAGCAGUGACAAUGGGAAGAGCACAAGCUACUGUAAGGUCCGGCCUGCUCUUUGAUUGGUGCUAGCCUUAAGGGGGCUACUAUGCUUGAAGAGCAAGCUUGUCCAUCUCUUCUGUGCUCUACAGUUCAGUCUACCUAUAUUCAGUCUCCCUAUACUGAUAUGCACAACACGGGAAAAAUUUUGUUCAUAACAAUUUUUUUUUAAUAUAUAUGGAGUGACUUGAAGAAUGUACCUUUACCGUUCUGAUUAUAUAAUUUUUUGUGAGGACAUCAUUCUUCAGCAAUUUUGUCAGGGUAGUGUCAAACAGUUAACACGUCACGAUGGUGCACCCUACAAUUACACUUUACAAGUCGCAUACCUCAGUGACGUAUUCGAAAUUAAUAGGUGAGAAAGAAAACCUUGGUUAGCAAGCAUGUAACAAAGUGGAAGUUUAGGUGAGUAGGUGUUAAAAAUGUCAAAUUUAGAUUUACAUGCUCAAUUCAUAGGCAGCUAUCAUGUUGCACAUUGCAAGCAGUUGCUGUACAUACAUUGUGGGUAGCUAGCACAUUGGAUGGCAUAAAAACUGUGUGCUCUAUUGUGGAUUACGCUUAUGUUUGUAAUCGUAAUGACUAGCCUAAGUUGACAUCUCUUUAGCAGAUAUGGUACACAUGGCACCUCUGAUUGGUUGUUUCCGAAUGCUGCGAAAAGGCUAUGAAUAUAGAGAAGUGCAGUGAUCAAUUUGUAUUGCAAGAAUUAUAAUCUAUACUCUAUCUCAGUAGUUUCUAACAGCACUGUGGAAGCCGCAAGACUCCUUAGCCAAUAGGAAGGCCAAAUGCUCCUCAAUACAUGUUCAUCUGCACUGCAUUGUCUGCUUAGCAUUGUCUUGCUAUCCUGUUGACACAUGCUUCACUGUUGGUGUACUGAUGAAACAAAUGUUUCGGUCUUGUAACCAGCUGUGUUUACAUAAAGGUGACAGUGGGGCUUCGCUUCAUCUGUAUGCUUUCUCAGCAGUUCCUUACAGCCUCCUUAGCUAGUAGUAAGGGUAAACAUCCUUAUAAAUGUUCACCCGCGCUAAAUCGUCUUCUCAGCGUCUAUUUGGCAUUUGCUCGCCGUUGCCAUCAAAUGCCAUACUAAAGGCGAAUAGUAAUAUUAUGAUGCAGUGAACGAUUUGGCCUUUAUAGCAUUCCGCAAUCAGACUGCUUUUAUGGCUCGGCAUUGCCUUUGUAGUCCUAGCGGCGUCAAAACGGACAGCUGAUCUCAAUAGUAACGACAAAGCAUAACUAAUGCUUUGCCUUCAGCGUGAAAUGAGGCCAAGUGUUGAUGGAUAUUACCAUUAAUUUCUUGCUGUCAAAGCGGAAAGCCAGUAACAAGCGUGGAUACAGUGCCAUGCUUGUUAGUUAGUAGUUAGUGUGUGCCAUGCAUACAGUUAUGCCUGGAACUAUAUCACGCGGUGCAAGUAUAUUACCUGUGUACACUUCCGUACCUUCGGCAGUGCUACAAGUUACUUGUGAGAUGGAGUAUAGUAAUUACCACCAGACUUCAUUAUAGCUGUUGGUGUGCGCUUGUUUUCACAAGAAAGCUCAGUUACUCUCAUACGCAACCACUGUAAUGGAUCUGUAAUGGCUUAUUGAAGGGGCCAACAGGCUGCGUCCACUGGUACUACUUGAAAGAAAAGUAGUUGCAUAUUUUUGUUUCACUGAUGCUUAUCUUUCGUGGCAAUAAUUUGUGCUGCAAUACAGUAGCAAUACAUCCUUGAUUUUUGGCACUUAAAAGCACAUGGCCAGCAGUUCACAGGUGGCUCGCUGAACUCUUCCCUGCAGCCUGACUUGCCCUCCUGACUGUUCACCUUCUCCCCCAAUAAUUCACAUUGGCCUUAAUAAGCACCUACUCCUCUACUGAACAUUUGACUACUGUGCAUGCACUGUGGGGAACUGCAUGUAGUCUAUGUGGCUCAAUGCCCAAUGCGAGUUUGAGACCCCUGCCUUUCUUCUUUAGUAUUUAUGAUCAUUUUGCAUACAUGAAAUGAUGAUUUGUUUGUGAACUUAGAAUCAGCAGAUCGUUGGCAGGUGGUUAGUUUUGCAACUAAAUUGGGAUCAUGGGCCUAAAAAUAUUGUGAAGAAAGUUUUUAUAAAGCUGCCGCAGAUAAAGCCGGAUGCGUUAUUGUUGAGCGUGUCCUGUUAUACUACCUUGUUAGUUGUGCUAACAUACAGAAGCUACUAUAGAUUGUUAACUGUGGUAAUAUUCUUGUAGUCUGAAAAAAUUCAGUUGGGCUCUGUUGCAUACUGUUACUUGCAUCAUUUGGGCUCUGGUUGAUGCAGUUUCUUGACCUGAUGAGUCUCACUGCAGCACAAAAUCAUUAACUGCAUUAUGCAGAUGAUGUGUUCACUUUAGUCACCUAGCAAUUACUGCUAAAGUAUGGUUUGCUAAAAUAUGGUUUGCUAGUAGCUCCUGUGUGAUUUCACUCUUUACUUUUAUACCUUGUACCUGUUGUGUUCGUAAAAUUUGUAUUAUAGUUUCACUUGAGUCAACUGAGUGUUUUGUCUGUGAACAUCAACUUUUCAGAAGUGACACUAUGCUCAUGUCUUCUGUUUGUGAUAAAUUUUAUGGGCUAUAGGCUUUUUGAUAAUCCAUAGCUUUUCUCUGUAACUUGAAACACCACUAGCCAAUAAGAAUUUCUGCAUAAUGUAACAUGGCAGAUUUUUGUCAUGUUACUGUGGCCUUGUUUUCUCCUAAAUGAACAUUUUUUUUUACAUUAGUGUGAAACCAUUUUUCUUCUUUUUUAGCCUUUUAUCUCUCUCCCUGUCAGUUCCACCUAUGUUUUAUGUUCUUUGGAGUGUUUAGUUUUAUUGUCCUAUUUGUGUUACAUCUUGAGCGUCAUGUCAAGAAUCCCAUAUGAAUGAUGAAAAAGUGAAAUGCUGGCUGGCAGCACUUGCAGAAUUUGCUGUGCCACGGUGCGCCUGAACCAUGGUGUAACAAUCCUUGAUUUGAUGAAAAUCACAUUGGGGCAGACUUUCUCUGCGCUAUUUUACACAAAUAUGAGACAACAUAGCAUUUCCUAUAGUUGAGCAGGUAAUUAAGCAGUGCAUUUUGUCCAAACUUUUGUGCUUUGGGUACUAAACAGAUGUUGCCAACUAACAGCAUUUGGUGCAAGAAGUUGUCUGGGCAUUAGAAAGUGCUCGUGACCGCCUCCGAGUCUAACAUGAAAGUUAGGUUGUAGACGUGCUUGAAUGUAACCGGCGGAUUGUCGCAUAAUUCAGUGUUGCACUCACCACUGCACAAUGGAAUGGCAUAUAUAUAUAUAUAACCAAGUAGUAUAGCUGUUGCCAGAAAUUGUGGCUGAAAUGCUCAUUUGUUAUUUUCAUGUACAAUAUGCAAGUCACCAUGAAUGUUAGUCACUGAAAGACUUUACUGCUGUUCUGACAUGGAAAUAUAUGUAAAAGGGAAAUUCAGUCUAACAAAGAUUUCCACUUGAAGUACAACUUUAUUGUUGGUGCCCACCAUCUGAAUUUGUGCUUUUCCACUUUACCUUCAGCUGUAUUUCUCGAUGACUCCCAUAUGUCAUAGGUGCUCUAAUGCUCGCUUGGUGCAUUAUGUGAAGAAUAAGAGGUUUGUGUGCAGCACAGUUAAUGCAGAACUCCUUUAAAGAACUCAUCCUUUUUUUUACUCUUUUUUUGUAACAGUAGUGCAGAAAUGCAGAAAACUAGUGAUGGCAGCGCCUGAAUGCUGCCACUUUUGUCUCAUUCUGGUAUAUCCAACAGUGUUCAGCACUUCCUGUACAGUUUGCCAUGCAACAUCACUUUUGCUCCUAAGCCUUUACCAAAUGUGGAGGAUGUGGACUCUGUUUAUGCAUUCACUGUUACUGCUAAAUUUAUUUCUUGCUCAAUCCGUCUGCAAGAUCUUUUCCUGGUAUGACACUCAUGUGUAAUUUGUAGCAACCAUGCUUCUCUGCACCAGUGGCAGUUUGCGUAUAUAAGAUGCGCUGCAGUAUGCAGCGGAAGUACUUGUGUCACAUGCAUUGCUUCGACAAUUUAGCAGCCAAUCCCUAGUGCAGCUGGGCCAGUCUGUUCAGUAAAAUGCUGCUCUGCGGUCUAGUGUGGCUUGCAAAGACUGCUUUCCCUGUGCCUUUGUCAUAUGUUGUUGGAAAGUGCAUGGUUACCUGUUGACUUGAGGAUACCAUUUAACACACUGAAAAGAUCUUUCAGCUGCCCUCUGCAGCCUGUGUUAUUUGGCUGUUAUGAGCCUGAUGUAUGAACAAACUGUCUUGUCUUGCAUUAGCCGCAUUUUUAGUAGUACGCCGUAGGCAGUAUUUUCUUAGUCGCACCACUUUUUGAAUCUCGGCUUGCAGGAGGUUUCACCCCAUUUUAAAUGUCUUGACCUUCCACUGGGUUGGAGCUAUUGUUUCAUUGGUUGUACUCUGACCAGCGAAUUGUGACCUGUACUUGCAUCGUUCAAGAAGCUGUAUGUUGAAAGUGCAAGCACUGUUUAAGCAGUGGAGUUUUCGUAUACAGUGUAGACUGCUUAUAACGUAUGCCAUAAAAGUCGUGAAAAACAAUGCUAUUAAGAGAGCCACAGUGUAAACAAAUAAUCUAUUUUUAUAAUCAGUGUACAAGCCAGAUGGACAACCUUAUUCGUUACGUUGUACAUUAAUUGUAGAAUCCAAGGAGGCUUUGCAGUAGAUCCUCUUUCCUAAAACUCAUUUCUUUAGGGGCAGUGCGGUAGUCUUACUUGGUUUCAUGAUUUAUAAGCGCAACGCAGCCUCUACGUGUGAGCAGUGUGGUGCUCGAUCUUGCUUUACUGUCACUAUUUUGGCUACUAAAAGCUGCGCUGUGUCCUGUACUGCACCUUAAGCGGCUACUUUACAAGUGGUCUGCACUGUACGCCUGUUUCAAUAUUCUUGGAAUGUGGAUUGGCAGAGCUUGUUGUACACCAGAAUUUCAUGUGACGGCAAAUGUGAGAGCUUAAAACGUAUUCACUGCCUGUUUCUCGAGGCAUUGCGUGUAAUCUCUAUGCUCUUGUAAUCCCUUUUUGGCAUAUUAUACAAUAAAGCCAAAUAGUUGUCUCGUGGAUAAA